UACGUAGGGGGCUAGCGUUGUCCGGAAUCAUUGGGCGUAAAGCGCGCGUAGGCGGCCCGGUAAGUCCGCUGUAAAAGUCCAGGGCUCAACCCUGGAACGCCGGUGGAUACUGUCGGGCUAGAGUCCGGAAGAGGCGAGUGGAAUUCCUGGUGUAGCGGUGGAAUGCGCAGAUAUCAGGAAGAACACCCGUGGCGAAGGCGGCUCUCUGGGACGGUACUGCGGAGACGCGAAAGCGUGGGGAGCGAACAGG
rnacentral:rRNA from 1 species